CCUACGGGGGGCAGCAGUGGGGGAUAUUGCACAAUGGAGGGAACUCUGAUGCAGCAACGCCGCGUGAGUGAAGAAGUAUUUCGGUAUGUAAAGCUCUAUCAGCAGGGAAGAUGAUGACAGUACCUGAAUAAGAAGCCCCGGCUAACUACGUGCCAGCAGCCGCGGUAAUACGUAGGGGGCAAGCGUUAUCCGGAUUUACUGGGUGUAAAGGGAGCGUAGACGGCGAAGCAAGUCUGAAGUGAAAAUCCGGGGCUCAACUCCGGAAGUGCUUUGGAAACUGUUUUGAUAGAGUGUCGGAGAGGUAAGUGGAAUUCCUGGUGUAGCGGUGAAAUGCGUAGAUAUCAGGAAGAACACCGGAGGCGAAGGCGGCUUACUGGACGAUAACUGACGUUGAGGCUCGAAAG
rnacentral:rRNA from 1 species